UACGUAGGUGGCAAGCGUUGUCCGGAAUUAUUGGGCGUAAAGCGCGCGCAGGCGGUCCUUUAAGUCUGAUGUGAAAGCCCACGGCUCAACCGUGGAGGGUCAUUGGAAACUGGGGGACUUGAGUACAGAAGAGGAAAGCGGAAUUCCACGUGUAGCGGUGAAAUACGUAGAGAUGUGGAGGAACACCAGUGGCGAAGGCGGCUUUCUGGUCUGUAACUGACGCUGAGGCGCGAAAGCGUGGGGAGCAAACAGG
rnacentral:rRNA from 1 species